AUGUCCAAAAACUGGGUACCAGGCCCAUGCUGGCAGAGUCCACAAAUUUAUUUUGGUUCAAACUCCUUAAAUCUCCUCAAAUCUCCAAAAAGUUGUAGCGGGCUAGGCAUGAGGGUAUGCUACCAUUUCGAAUCGAGUUCAACUAUCUCCUCUGUUUCUGAUCCGUACAAUCGCCCUCACUUCAACAUUGAUACGAACUUUCAGUCUCCUUUCAACAACUUUUUCUUUGAGUUUUGUCUCAGCUUAUCUCAACAGCCGCGGCUUCGACGUAGAGCUUCACCUUCUUCGAUUUUGAAAAUUUUGUGUCCAUCAAUGUUGCUACGUGCACGAAUCGUCAUUGGUUGUUGUCCAUCGGUGAUGAUGGUUGAACGUUGCAGAGAUGAAUUAUUGGAAAUAUUGAAGAAGAUUGAAGCAGGGGGUAAGGUUGAUGCAUAA